CGCUUGCUCGGCUAUGAAGGUUCAGAAGAUUUUGCUAUUCGCUGUUGCAAAGGAGUCCUCGAAAUUCCUGCCCAUCUUGAAGGAAACAACAAAAUCAUUCAAGGGAAAGCUUUUAUUUGUUUUUGUGGAGCGUGACAAUGAGGAAGUUGGUGAACCUGUUG